AGACAGUAAAAGAAAAGGGAUGUAACAGGUGAAACAAGACUGACCAUGUUUUAAUAAGCUGGCUAAUAGAUUCGGGUGUACAUGUGCAGGUCUGUUACCUGGGAAUACUGCGUGAUACUGAACUUUGGGGUACAAGUGAUCCUGUCACCCAGGUUAACAGAAGAAAAAAGAAGCAUAGUUUAUCUCCAAGGAGAACGGGCAGUUUGCUUCUUCAGCUAGAAUAUAUUCCCAGUGUCCUCGGGCUUUGCAGCAGAAUCACAUCACCGAGCAUGAAGACUUGCCUUGUGAAGCUGCCCCGUCCAUUUUUUCUGCCUCCAAAAUCAUCCUUCGAAAAACAUCAACAGCAGUCUGAUUUUCUUUAGCAGAAGAUUCCAAAAAAGCUGCAUUCCAAGAUUCUGCCAAAGCUUUCCCUUCUUCAUAACUGAUCACCCUUUCCAUAUGCAGGAGUCCACAAAUUGGCCUUCAACAAAUUGAAUCGUCAAUGAGGAUUUCCCCACAGACCGGUAGCCCAGGAUCGCGAUCUUCCGGGACUUUGACUGCGGCAUCUUGGC
rnacentral:lncRNA from 1 species